rnacentral:rRNA from 1 species
AUUGAACGCUGGCGGCAGGCUUAACACAUGCAAGUCGAGCGGAGAUGAGGUGCUUGCACCUUAUCUUAGCGGCGGACGGGUGAGUAAUGCUUAGGAAUCUGCCUAUUAGUGGGGGACAACAUUCCGAAAGGAAUGCUAAUACCGCAUACGUCCUACGGGAGAAAGCAGGGGAUCUUCGGAGCUUGCGCUAAUAGAUGAGCGUAAGUCGGAUUAGCUAGUUGGUGGGGUAAAGGCCUACCAAGGCGACGAUCUGUAGCGGGUCUGAGAGGAUGAUCCGCCACACUGGGACUGAGACACGGCCCAGACUCCUACGGGAGGCAGCAGUGGGGAAUAUUGGACAAUGGGGGGAACCCUGAUCCAGCCAUGCCGCGUGUGUGAAGAAGGCCUUAUGGUUGUAAAGCACUUUAAGCGAGGAGGAGGCUACUGAGACUAAUACUCUUGGAUAGUGGACGUUACUCGCAGAAUAAGCACCGGCUAACUCUGUGCCAGCAGCCGCCGUAA